AGUGAACGCUGGCGGUAGGCCUAACACAUGCAAGUCGAACGGCAGCACAGUAAGAGCUUGCUCUUACGGGUGGCGAGUGGCGGACGGGUGAGGAAUACAUCGGAAUCUACUUUUUCGUGGGGGAUAACGUAGGGAAACUUACGCUAAUACCGCAUACGACCUACGGGUGAAAGCAGGGGAUCUUCGGACCUUGCGCGAUUGAAUGAGCCGAUGUCGGAUUAGCUAGUUGGCGGGGUAAAGGCCCACCAAGGCGACGAUCCGUAGCUGGUCUGAGAGGAUGAUCAGCCACACUGGAACUGAGACACGGUCCAGACUCCGACGGGAGGCAGCAGUGGGGAAUAUUGGACAAUGGGCGCAAGCCUGAUCCAGCCAUACCGCGUGGGUGAAGAAGGCCUGCGGGUUGUAAAGCCCUUUUGUUGGGAAAGAAAAGCAGCAGGUUAAUACCCCGCUGUUCUGACGGUACCCAAAGAAUAAGCACCGGCUAACUUCGG
rnacentral:rRNA from 1 species